UACGAAGGGGGCUAGCGUUGCUCGGAAUGACUGGGCGUAAAGGGCGCGUAGGCGGAUGGCACAGUCAGAUGUGAAAUUCCCGGGCUUAACCUGGGGGCUGCAUUUGAUACGUGUUGUCUAGAGUGAGGAAGAGGGUUGUGGAAUUCCCAGUGUAGAGGUGAAAUUCGUAGAUAUUGGGAAGAACACCGGUGGCGAAGGCGGCUCUCUGGACCGUAACUGACGCUGAGGCGCGAAAGCGUGGGGAGCAAACAGG
rnacentral:rRNA from 1 species